rnacentral:tRNA from 1 species
GUUCUUGUAGUUGAAUAACAA